GAGGGCAUAGCUCAGUGGUAGAGUGCAUGCUUAGCAUGCAUGAGGUCCUGGGUUCAAUCCCCAGUACCUCCA
rnacentral:tRNA from 1 species